GACGAACGCUGGCGGCGUGCCUAAUACAUGCAAGUCGAACGCACAGUUUAUACCUUAGCUUGCUACACCAUAAACUGUGAGUUGCGAACGGGUGAGUAACGCGUAGGUAACCUGCCUGGUAGCGGGGGAUAACUAUUGGAAACGAUAGCUAAUACCUCAUAAUAUUAAUUAUUGCAUGAUAAUUGAUUGAAAGAUGCAAUUGCAUCACUACCAGAUGGACCUGCGUUGUAUUAGCUAGUAGGUGAGGUAACGGCUCACCUAGGCGACGAUACAUAGCCGAACUGAGAGGGUGAUCGGCCACACUGGGAGUGAGACACGGCACAGACUCCUACGGGAGGCAGCAGUAGGGAAUCGUCGGCAAUGGACGAAAGUCUGACCGAGCAACGCCGCGUGAGUGAAGAAGGUUUUCGGAUCGUAAAGCUCGGUUGUAAGAGAAGAACGGGUGUGAGAGUGGAAAGUUCACACUGUGACGGUAUCUUACCAGAAAGGGACGGCUAACUACGUG
rnacentral:rRNA from 1 species